CCCUACGGGGUGCAGCAGGAAUUUGCCGGAGAACGGUUUGUCCGGGACCUCGUUCCUUUCUUUGCACAUGUUCAGGUAAUCAUCGACGGAGUCGUGGAAGGCUUUUUCGAUCUUCUUCACGCUGUCGCCCUCGAACGUGACCACAUCACGGAUGCCGAUCACCUCGCCGUAAAAUAUCAUGUCUUCGUCGUCGAAUUCGACUUUUGCGGUAUACCCUUUAUACGUCAUCAUAAUUCACUCCUGCUUCGUUUAAAAAACGCCGCAUCGACCUCACCGCACCCCUCCUGGUUUCUUUUUCCGGGUGCGGCCGGUGGAACACGGCCCGGACGCCAUUGAGCACGAGACGUACCCGGGAGC
rnacentral:rRNA from 1 species